rnacentral:rRNA from 1 species
GGCGGCGUGCUUAACACAUGCAAGUCGAACGUCGAAAGGGACUUCGGUCCUGAGUAAAGUGGCGCACGGUGAGUAACGCGUGGAUAAUCUGCCCUUAUGAUCGGGAUAACAGUUGGAAACGGCUGCUAAUACCGGAUACGCUCAAAAUGAACUUUUUGAGGAAAGAUGGCCUCUGCUUGCAUGCUAUCACGUAAGGAUGAGUCCGCGUCCCAUUAGCUUGUUGGCGGGGUAACGGCCCACCAAGGCAACGAUGGGUAGCCGAUUUGAGAGGAUGAUCGGCCACACUGGAACUGAAACACGGUCCAGACUCCUACGGGAGGCAGCAGUGGGGAAUAUUGCGCAAUGGGCGAAAGCCUGACGCAGCGACGCCGCGUGAAGGGAUGAAGGUUUUCGGAUCGUAAACCUCUGUCAGAAGGGAAGAAACUACGUUGUGCUAAUCAGCAGCGUACUGACGGUACCUUCAAAGGAAGCACCGGCUAACUCCGUGCCAGCAGCGGC